rnacentral:lncRNA from 10 species
UCUCAGUAAAAGUAGUAAUAGUAAUAGUUGUUGUUGUCAUUGUUUGUUGUUACUACAUUGAUUUCUUACAGCUUCAGUUAACUAAUAAUUUACUAAGGCUAUACUUUCAGGGAUCAUUUUUAUAGCUUAUUACUAGAGGAGUUAAUGUGAAUGUGUAGAGCACCAGAAACCUUGAGGAGGAGGUGCAGCGUUCUCUCCUGAGCAUAAAGCUGGCCCGCAGUAUUGUGUUGCCUCACUGCAACUGCCAUUUGCCAUUGAUGAUGAUUGUUCUCUUUCACUGAGAGAGUAAGAGGACAGGAUGCAUUCUAACUGGCUCCUGUUUAUGUUAUUAAAAGUAAAAAAUAAAAAUAAAAAUAAAAAAUAAAAGAAAAAGAAAGGAAUUUAGUGCAUCCUGGCCACCCAAACCCCAUAGGCUUUCAAAUGUAAUUGCAGGAGAAAAUGUGACUUUGCUUCUCUUCUUGAUCCAUACAUCCCCUCUGUCUAGUUCUAAGCUGCACCAAAGUCUCUCUCUCCUCUCUCUCUCUCUCUCUCUCUCUCUCUCUCUCUCUCUCUCUCACACACACACACACACACACACACACACACACACACAGAGGAAUUAAGCCAGAGAUGGUAUGUCAGUUGUGAUGGAUUGAUAGUUCCUGCCUGGGAUAAUUUGAUGAGAGGAAUCCUGAGGAUUCCAUUGGAAAUCAAAAUAUAAAAGUAGCAUGAUUGAUUAUUAAUGUCAGUUGAGGAUUUGGAUAAGUAAGUGAUAGCAUACAUACUGUACUGUCAAGAAAGGAUAGGUCAUUAACACUUCAGUAUAAUUUUUUUUUUAUUUUUGUAAUACACACAUGCCUUUUAAAUAUUAAUGCUUAUUAUGGAAUAAAUUCUUGGCUCCCUAUUAAAUAAAUUUCUGGCAUUAGGAAGCAAGUAAGAAAGAUUUUGUUGUGAGGGCUGCAUUGCCUUUCUGAAAUUAUAUGACAUAAUGAUCUGUUCUCUUGCAUAACUUGGGCCUUAAUUUAGUGAUUCCACAAUUUUAUUUGCUAUAAAUAAAAAAGUAAGAAAACAUACUUCCCUUAACAAAAGUUCCAUGAUGAUCUCUCAAAGAGGUAACAUUGUAUAUUCAUACAAUUGAUUGCUAAUCAGCAAUUUAAAAUGAAAGAAUUGGCUGGGCGCAGUGGCUCAUACCUGUUAUCCCAGCACUUUGGGAGGCCAAGGUGGGCGGAUCACAAGGUCAGGUGAUCGAGACUAUCCUGGCCAACAUGGUGAAACCCCGUGUCUACUAAAAAAAAAAAAAAAAAAAAAAAAAAAGACAAAAAUUAUCUGGGCAUGGUGGCGCGUGCCUGUAAUCCCAGCUACUCUGGGGGCUGAGGCAGGAGAAUUGCUUGAACCAGGGAGUCCAAGGUUGCAGUGAGCCUAGAUGUGCCACUGCACUCCAGCCUGGUGACAGAGCGAGACUGUCUCAAAAAAAAAAAAAUUACUGAUAUUUAGGUUGGUGCAAAAGUAAGUAAUUGCAGUUUUUGCCAAAGUAAUGGCAAAAACCACAAUAAUCAGCUUUGCACCAACUUAAUACAUGUAACGAUGUGAAUAAAUUUCAGAUAUUUUGCUGAGAAAAAAGGCCAGACACAAAAAGGGACAUAUUAUAUGAUUCUAUUUAUGUAUAUGAACUUCUAAAACAUGCAGAACUGCUCUAUGCAGCAGUUCUCAGACUCAGUUGUGCAACAGGAUCACCUGGAGAGCUUGUUAAAACACAAUUUUCCGGGCCCUGCUCCCAGUUUCCAACUCAGUUGGUCUGGGGUGGGGGCUGAGAAUUUUUUUAAUAUGUCUGUCUUUUCUUUCUAGUUUUACAUUAUUUAACACCAUUUAACAUCUCGUAGUCCAAGUUCCCUUUAUUAUUUUUCUAAGUUUUCUUGGUUAUUAUUGGGCUAGAUGAUAUCUUUAUAUAUAUAUAUAUAUAUAUAUACUUUAAGU